CUUCUUGUUCCUCACGGCCCCAACCCUAGCCGCCCUACCCUGCGCGCGGCCCCUUCCCUGUGGCCGCCGCUCCCCCGCGCCGCCUCCUCCCGCGCGUGCAGCCGCCUUGGCGCGCGCCGCCGCUCGUACUGCGCCGCCCUCGCCCGCGCAGCGCCACCGCCAGGCCCUCGCCGCGGCUGCCACAUCUCGGGUUGACGAGAUCCACCGCGGCAUCGGGGUUAUCGUCACGGGGACCACGACGGGCGAAUCCACAGCUGCAACGCGAUCCUCAGCGUGCGGGUGAAGUCGAAUCAAGUCAGUCUUCCCCUACCCACCCUAGCCCCCAACACCAACCCUUCCCCCAAGUCCGGAUCUGGAGCGACCUGAUGCUCGACACCAUCAUGGUCAACACGUGCCACAAGAGCUUUGCCUCCUCCCCUGCGCAUCCCAUCAAGAUGCUUUCGUGCAUAGUCCAAUGAUUUCUGCUUGUGGAGCCCUGAAUUUCACAAUAAAGUGCAGUUUAUUGACAAGAGAGUAGUCGAAAAAGGGAUCAGUCCUUGAUGUCUUCUCAUAGGCAUUGUUCCUCUGCACUAUCUCUUUGGAGUGCACUAAUCAUCUGGAGGAUGAGGGAAGGCUGGAAGGACAAGGGACUAAUGCGAUGCAAAUAUAUCACAUCACAUACACAUGGUGUUUAGCUGAUUGUAGCCUUUUUGUCAUGUAUAAAUGUUGUGUACAUGUAAGCUAUUGUGUACUGUGUACUACUAUUAUUAAUCUAUUUCUCUAUUUGUAUUAAACUGGGCUGUAAUGCAUUUAAUGGGCUUGGCCCAUUUAAUUUGUCAUCAAUUAUAAAUUUGCAAAUAACAA